rnacentral:rRNA from 1 species
AACGAACGCUGGCGGCAGGCCUAACACAUGCAAGUCGAGCGAGGACUUCGGUUCUAGCGGCGGACGGGUGAGUAACGCGUGGGAAUGUGCCCUUCUCUACGGAACAGCCCUGGGAAACUGGGAGUAAUACCGUAUACGCCCUAUUGGGGAAAGAUUUAUCGGAGAAGGAUCAGCCCGCGUUGGAUUAGGUAGUUGGUGGGGUAAUGGCCUACCAAGCCGACGAUCCAUAGCUGGUUUGAGAGGAUGAUCAGCCACACUGGGACUGCGACACGGCCCAGACUCCUACGGGAGGCAGCAGUGGGGAAUCUUAGACAAUGGGGGCAACCCUGAUCGAGCCAUGCCGCGUGAGUGAUGAAGGCCUUAGGGUUGUAAAGCUCUUUCAGCUGGGAAGAUAAUGACGGUACCAGCAGAAGAAGCCCCGGCUAACUCCGUG